AGCAGCCGCGGUAAUUCCAGCUCCAAUAGCGUAUAUUAAAGUUGUUGCAGUUAAAAAAGCUCGUAGUUGAAUUUCGGGAUUAGUACGUCGGUCGUGCCUUCGGUACGUACUGGUGUUACUGAUUCCUACCUUCCGACGAACCAUCAUGUCAUUAAUUUGGUGUGGCGGGGAAUCAGGACUGUUACUUUGAAAAAAUUAGAGUGUUUAAAGCAGGCUCGCGCUUGAAUACAUUAGCAUGGAAUAAUGAAAUAGGACGUUGACCCUAUUUUGUUGGUUUCUAGGAUUGACGUAAUGAUUAAUAGGGAUAGUUGGGGGCAUUAGUAUUCAAUUGUCAGAGGUGAAAUUCUUGGAUUUAUUGAAGACUAACUAACUGCGAAAGCAUUUGCCAAGGAUGUUUUCAUUAAUCAAGAACGAAAGUUAGGGGAUCGAAGACGAUCAGAUACCGUCGUAGUCUUAACCAUAAACUAUGCCGACUAGGGAUCGGAUGAUGUUAUUUUUAAUGACUCAUUCGGCGCCUUAC
rnacentral:rRNA from 1 species